rnacentral:rRNA from 1 species
AUUGAACGCUGGCGGCAGGCUUAACACAUGCAAGUCGAGCGGAGUGAUGGUGCUUGCACUAUCACUUAGCGGCGGACGGGUGAGUAAUGCUUAGGAAUCUGCCUAUUGGUGGGGGACAACAUCUCGAAAGGGAUGCUAAUACCGCAUACGUCCUACGGGAGAAAGCAGGGGAUCACUUGUGACCUUGCGCUAAUAGAUGAGCCUAAGUCGGAUUAGCUAGUUGGUGGGGUAAAGGCCUACCAAGGCGACGAUCUGUAGCGGGUCUGAGAGGAUGAUCCGCCACACUGGGACUGAGACACGGCCCAGACUCCUACGGGGGGCAGCAGUGGGGAAUAUUGGACAAUGGGGGGAACCCUGAUCCAGCCAUGCCGCGUGUGUGAAGAAGGCCUUAUGGUUGUAAAGCACUUUAAGCGAGGAGGAGGCUCUUUUGGUUAAUACCCAAGAUGAGUGGACGUUACUCGCAGAAUAAGCACCGGCUAACUCUGUGCCAGCAGCCGCCGUAA